rnacentral:rRNA from 1 species
AUUGAACGCUGGCGGGAGGCCUUACACAUGCAAGUCGAGCGGAGCGGCGGACGGGUGAGUAAUGCCUAGGAAUCUGCCUGGUAGCGGGGGAUAACUUCCGGAAACGGGCGCUAAUACCGCAUACUAUUAGAUCGGCCUAGGUCGGAUUAGCUAGUUGGUGGGGUAAAGGCCUACCAAGGCGACGAUCCGUACCUGGUCUGAGAGGAUGAUCAGUCACACUGGAACUGAGACACGGUCCAGACUCCUACGGGAGGCAGCAGUGGGGAAUAUUGGACAAUGGGCGAAAGCCUGAUCCAGCCAUGCCGCGUGUGUGAUGAAGGUCUUCGGAUUGUAAAGCACUUUAAGUUGGGAGGCGUUACCAACAGAAUAAGCACCGGCUAACUUCGUGCCAGCAGCCGCGGUAAUUC